rnacentral:rRNA from 1 species
UGGGGAAUAUUGGACAAUGGGCGCAAGCCUGAUCCAGCCAUGCCGCGUGCGGGAAGAAGGCCUUCGGGUUGUAAACCGCUUUUGUCAGGGAAGAAACGCUCUGGGCUAAUACCCUGGGGUAAUGACGGUACCUGAAGAAUAAGCACCGGCUAACUACGUGCCAGCAGCCGCGGUAAUACGUAGGGUGCAAGCGUUAAUCGGAAUUACUGGGCGUAAAGCGUGCGCAGGCGGUUAUGCAAGACAGAUGUGAAAUCCCCGGGCUCAACCUGGGAACUGCAUUUGUGACUGUAUAGCUAGAGUACGGUAGAGGGGGAUGGAAUUCCGCGUGUAGCAGUGAAAUGCGUAGAUAUGCGGAGGAACACCGAUGGCGAAGGCAAUCCCCUGGACCUGUACUGACGCUCAUGCACGAAAGCGUGGGGAGCAAACAGGAUUAGAUACCCCUGUAGUCCCUGAGCGGGCUGGCAAGGCGCAU